UAACGACGACGCUGUCCGAGUCCUGAGAGAGAUUGUCCACAAACCAGGUCCGGUGACGUUAACAGUGGCAAAGUGCUGGGAUCCGAACCCGCGAGGCUGCUUCACGCUGCCGAGGAGUGAGCCGGUCCGCCCCAUUGACCCGGCCGCCUGGGUGUCGCACACCGCCGCCAUGACGGGGCGGCUGCCCCCGCACUACGGUGUACACGAGGAAAACCAUCUCACUAUCCACAGCGACAUGACAGCUGUUGUCAAGGCGAUGGCCAAUCCUGAGUCAGGCCUGGAGGUCCGGGACCGGAUGUGGCUAAAGAUCACCAUUCCCAACGCCUUCAUCGGUAAGAAGCCCCUAUCCUAAACCCUUCACGGGUAAGACACCCUAAACCCUUCAUAGGUAAGUCACC